GUGAGGAAUAUUGCGCAAUGGAGGCAACUCUGACGCAGCCAUGCCGCGUGCAGGAAGAAGGCGCUACGCGUUGUAAACUGCUUUUAACCGGGAAGAAACCCCAGGACGUGUCCUGGGUUGACGGUACCGGAGGAAUAAGCACCGGCUAACUUCGUGCCAGCAGCCGCGGUAAUACGAAGGGUGCAAGCGUUAUCCGGAUUCAUUGGGUUUAAAGGGUGCGUAGGCGGAGCGUUAAGUCAGUGGUGAAAUCCUGCAGCUUAACUGUAGACUUGCCAUCGAUACUGGCGCUCUUGAGUGCGCUUGAAGUGGGCGGAAUGUGCCGUGUAGCGGUGAAAUGCUUAGAUAUGGCACAGAACACCAAUUGCGAAGGCAGCUCACUAAGGCGAUACUGACGCUGAGGCACGAAAGCGUGGGGAUCGAACAGGAUUAGAUACCCUUGUAGUCC
rnacentral:rRNA from 1 species